GACAAAUGAUGGUAAAUUUGCUUUGUAAAUGGUUAGUUUAUUUUGAAAAAUUGCUUUUCACAUUGUUUUAAUCAUUGCCUGCAUUGGCUCCAAAGACAAAAGUUGCUCAAAAGUCAAAACUUCAAAAGUUGCUCUAUCAAGGCCUAUUAAUUAAUGACUAGUUUUGGGCUAUCAGACCUAUAGCCUUCAUUUCAACGAGUCUGAUCACCAUGGGCGU